rnacentral:lncRNA from 1 species
CAGAACAAGGCGUGCUAGGCUCCGCUUCAUGAUCAUGCAGUGCCGGCCUGAUCCAUCGGGUGAUCCAUUAACGAUGAAUUUCUCGAGUGAGCACGUCCGUCCGUCGAUCCGUCGCCGGCGGUUGGAAUGUGAUCGUCGUGAUAAAUCUUGGUGAUGAAAUGUUUAGUUGUGCACUUGUGUUGUUGUAUGGUCUCAUACUCUGAUCUGUAUACCAGCAGUGCUGUUGCCAUUUAUCUGCAUACCGCAUUUCCCCUCUCUCUCUCGCUGUUGAUGUUAUUUACCGAGUGAUAAAUCUAAGAGUAACUUUAUAGUGUUUAAGUAGGUAUCGAAAUAGUGCUUGAGUAGAUACCGA